AUUCAGUCUGGGGCGCAGGUCGUGCAGAUCGGAAAUCCGGUAGGGCUUCCCCGAGCGGGGGCCGUCCGGUCGCACGCAGCGCCUGCGCACCCGACGCAUUUGUCUCUCGUCCGAAGGACGCCGCAGCCGGCUGGGUAGUGCAAGCGCGACGACCUGAGGGGCGGAAGAUGGCAGGUGGCCGCUGGCGUGCCUCGUGCGCGUCGGCGGUUGUUAGCCGUUCCGUCAGUGGUCCGUCACCCGGCCGAGGUGUCGCGAGGCCCUUCGGGGCCUCAUCGUCUCCUCCUCAGUGUCGCGGGUCAGAGCGUCGCAGGUGGAAUCCGUCGUCCCGUUCGCACCCCUCCGGGGUGGUCGGGCGAACGGAGGCCUCCGUUGGUGGCGCCGGACCCGUUGGAGGCUGGAGGCUUGCGGCGAGUAGGUCGGUCACCCACCCGACCCGGUCUUGAAACACGGACCAAGGAGUCUAACAUGUGCGCGAGUCAAUGGGUCUUGAAUAGGCCCAGGGGCGCAAUGAAAGCAAAGGACGGCCUCAGCGCCGUCCGAGUUGGGAUCCCCGUCUUCGGGCGGGGCGCACCAACGACCCGUCCUAUUCGGCUCGCCGAUUGGGCGGAGUUUGAGCGUACACGUUGGGACCCGAAAGAUGGUGAACUAUGCCCGGACAGGACGAGGCCAGAGGAAACUCUGGUGGAGGUCCGCAGCGGUUCUGACGUGCAAAU
rnacentral:rRNA from 1 species